rnacentral:rRNA from 1 species
GACGAACGCUGGCGGCGUGCUUAACACAUGCAAGUCGAACGGAAAGGCCCUGCGUUUGUGGGUUUCUCGAGUGGCGAACGGGUGAGUAACACGUGAGUAACCUGCCCUUGACUUUGGGAUAACUUCAGGAAACUGGGGCUAAUACCGGAUAGGAGCUCCUGCUGCAUGGUGGUGGUUGGAAAGUUUCGGCGGUGCGGGAUGGACUCGCAGCUUAUCAGCUUGUUUGGCGGGUAGUGGCUUACCAAGGUUUUGACGGGUAGGCGGCCUGAGAGGGUGACCGGGCACCUUGGGACUGCGAUACGGCCCAGACUCCAACGGGAGGCAGCAGUGGGGAAUAUUGCACAAUGGGCGGACGCCAGAUACAGCAACGCCGCGUGCGGGAUGCCGGCCUUCGGGUUGUAAACCGCUUUCGACUGUGACGAAGCGUGAGUGACGGUAAUGGGUAAAGAAGCACCGGCUAACUACGUG